rnacentral:lncRNA from 1 species
UGUUGCAGGAUGGUUCGAAUUAGAAUUCCACCAUCAAGGGUUCGUGGCCAGCAUGUCCUACUACUUUGGCAAAUGAUGCAGGAGCUUGGGGCACCAUGUCCUCAAUUCUUUGAAGAGAUGCCAGAUGAUGGAACACACUCCUACAGACGUGUAGUUGUGGUGCUCAGCGGUGUUCCAUCAGACAUGGACUUCUAUGUGGAGCUCUCCACAAUGCAGCGGUCAUCCGAUGACACUCUACCCAUGCAGGAGGUUGCCAAGGAAGCUAUGCUUGGACUGCGAGCACGCUUUGGAGAGAAACUGCGCACCACCGGAUACCGUGACUUGCCAGCACUUGAUUCUGGGAGUUUUGGGCAGAACCAUCAGCAAGGACCUAGAGGAGCAAGCCUGGGUGUUGGGUCUUCAUCAGCUUAGCCUACACCUGCCGGUUCAACAGUUAGCACCACUUCUAGUAUGACAAUGAUUGUUGAUACGAUGAUGUAUCAUACAAUGAAGGAGGAGCUUAUUAGACACCAGGAAGCAACCCAAUUCUGGUACCAAUGCUAUCAGAUGAGCGAACAUGAUAGGAUUAUGCUUCAGGGAGCACUAAAUGCUAUGCCUGGAGGUCCUCUGAAUCCUAUAAUAGUACCAGGUGAUGUUCAAGAGGAAGAAGAGGAGGAUCCAGAGGAAGUAGAACCAGAGGAACCGGAAGAAGUUGAGGGAGUAGAGAACCCAAAUGAGCCACUAGUUCCACCCCCACCAAACGUACCACCUACACCACCCCAGCCACUACCUGAGCAUAUAGAUGAACCAGAAUCAGCCCUACAGCCAGAUAUAGAGCAGCAGCAGCUACCCCACUUCCCUAUCCCACGACCACACCAACCUGACUUUAUCCACCCACACAUGAGUGUCAGCUCGAGGGAGUACAGGGAGGCUGCUACCUAUGCAAGGGUACUUGGGCUUGGCACGAGUGGUAGCGGAGGAAGCAAUGGAAGUGGCAGCGGUAGCAACAAUGGCGGUGGCAGCAGCAUCAUCUAAUCAAGUUCCAAUCUACCACUCUUAGGCGUGGGACGCCUUGGCCAUAGACUAGUCUUUUGGGAUCAGCGGUAGUUAGGGUAGUGGCAGCCUGAAUAUGUGUGUUUAUGUAAGAUAUGUGGCAAGGCAGAGUUUGUCCCCUAUGUACUAGUAAGAUCUGAACCCUAUGUGGAGUGUGUUGUAGUUGUAAUGCAGUUAUGCCCUUAACUAAGACUUGUGUGAUAUACUGGUUGUAAUAUAAGUGCUUGUUCUGUAGUAUAUAACUUGUGUGCAUUAGGAGGCUCACAGUACCUUACUAUUGUGUGCUUGAGUGAGUAAUCAGAGUGGUAUCAUUCUGGUUAGUAAGAGGCAUUUGCCACCAUGAUUGCACUUCAUGUUGGGUUACUGCAAAUUUAAGGACAGCAUGCUAUUUAUUGGUAUCACUUGCACUUGUGCUUGCUGAUUGGAAUCAAUAAUCAUGCAAAGAAGUAACCAACUAACUAGAAGAAAAAAAAUGCAGGAUGAAUAACAAUGGUUUGACUGAGCAAGACCUUGUCUUUCGUUUGGGAUCAAGCGCCCAUGAUCAGCAUGGGGGUACACCAGUUUCAGAAAAUCAAAGUGCCCUACCUGGAGCGGCGCAACUUCCAAGCAAUCCAGAAGUGGGCAAUGCUGGAACUUCUGGACUUAUGGGUGGAGAAGGCAAUUUGGGAGAUGUCCUUAAGUUCAUGGAGAAUUCUCGAAGGAAGUCCCAAGAGAACCAGAACCGCUUCCUCGAAGCGAUACUGACAAGACUAGUUCCUGGAGGAGCAAACCUACCCGGUGCAGGAGUAAGCUUGGGAGAAUUUCUGAAAACUCAGCCACCCACAUUCUCCAAGGCGGUGGAUCCACUAGAGGCAGAUGACUGGCUGUUAGAAGUAGAACACAAUCUGGAAACCGUGGGGUGCUCAGAUGAAGAGAAGGUGUGAUAUGCAUCGCACCAGCUAACCGGACCAGCAGCAGCUUGGUGGAGGAAUUUCAGCCUUAGCCGAGCAAAUAAUCAGCCUAUCACUUGGGAGGAGUUCAAGGAGAAUUUCCGUCAGACCCAUAUUCCAAAGGGAAAGAUGGAUACCAAAAAGAGGGAGUUUCACAAUCUGACUCAAGGUAGCAAGAGGAUAAACGACUACCUAAACCAGUUUACUGAUUUGGCAAGAUAUGCCCCGGAUGAUGUGAAUACAGAAGCCAAGAAGGUGGAAAAGUUUAUGGAAGGGCUGCAUCCAUUCCUGAAAAUGCACCUCUCGAUUCACGGGAUCACCCAGUUUCAAGACCUUGUCAACAGGGCCUUCAUACUUGAGAAUGAGCAUGCCAACCUAAGUGAAGAAAGAAGGAAGAAGGCAAGGGUAGAUCCACGCCCCAUGAUGCAUCACCCACGUCCUAUGAUGCCUGUACCAGUGCGUCCUCAUAUGCCACCACCACGGCCUAGAUUUCCUACUCAGCCAACCUUUGUUCCUAAAUGUGGGAAGUGUGGAAAAGGUCAUGCUACUCGAGAUUGUAUGACGGGUACAAGACUUUGCUUCAAUUGUGGGAGGCCAGGACACCACAAGCUCAAUUGCACCUCUCCUCCCGUGAAUCCUACAAGGCCACCUAUACAUCAGACUCAAGUGCAUCGUCCACCAGCUGGGCGAGGACAAGGCGGACCUAUGAACUAUGCAGUAAGAGGAGCUGGGCGUGGAGGACAAGUAGGAGGACAACCAAGGCUGAAUUAUGUGGCUGCAGAGCAACUAGGAGAAGCUACAGAUGUUGUCAUCGGUAAACUACUCAUUCCUCCUUCAGUUGGUACAGUUCUUUUUGAUACCGGUGCCACACACUCAUUUAUUUCUCAAGAUUUCGUGAAUAAGAGUGGAUUAACAUGCACACCGUUGGAAAAGGCUUUAGGAGUUAACUCACCUGGAGGGAAGAUUACAGUAGAGGCAAUGCGCAGAAAUCAACCAAUAAUAAUCCACAACACCAAAUUUUCAGCAGACCUGCAUGUUAUAGAGAUGUCAGGGUUAGAAAUAAUCCUUGGGAUGGAUUGGUUAGCUGCUAAUGGAGUGAAAGUAGAUUGUGAACUUAAAAGUGUAUCCAUAAGGAAGUCUGAUGGCUCUAGGCUGAUAUAUUUUGGAAGUAGAACCAGACCCAACAAUCCCUUAGUAAUGGUAGCAAGUGGACAAAAGAAAGAAAUAAAGGAUAUACCUGUAGUUUGUGAGUUUCCUGAUGUAUUUCCGGAUGAACUGCCGGGUAUGCCGCCUGAUAGGGAGUUAGAGUUCAGCAUUGUUUUAAUGCCUGGGGCAUCACCUAUCUCCAAAAGACCC